GUGUUCCUACGGGAGGCAGCAGUAGGGAAUCUUCCACAAUGGGCGAAAGCCUGAUGGAGCAACGCCGCGUGGGUGAAGAAGGUCUUCGGAUCGUAAAGCCCUGUUGUUAGAGAAGAAAGUGCGUGAGAGUAACUGUUCACGUUUCGACGGUAUCUAACCAGAAAGCCACGGCUAACUACGUGCCAGCAGCCGCGGUAAUACGUAGGUGGCAAGCGUUAUCCGGAUUUAUUGGGCGUAAAGGGAACGCAGGCGGCCUUUUAUGU
rnacentral:rRNA from 1 species